UAUCGAGUUUACAACUCCCAAACCCCUGUGAACCAUACCAUCGUUGCUUCGGCGGGAUCGUCCCGGCGCCUCUGGCCCGGAACCAGGCGCCCGCCGGAGACCCAAACUCUUGACUUUUAGAGAUUUCUUCUGAGUAACACAAGUAAAUAAAUUAAAACUUUUAACAACGGAUCUCUUGGUUCUGGCAUCGAUGAAGAACGCAGCGAAAUGCGAUAAGUAAUGUGAAUUGCAGACUUCAGUGAAUCAUCGAAUCUUUGAACGCACAUUGCGCCCGCUAGUAUUCUGGCGGGCAUGCCUGUUCGAGCGUCAUUUCAACCCUCAAGCCCAGCUUGGUGUUGGGGACCGGCCGCGACUUCACCGCCGCGGCCGCCCCCGAAAUACAGUGGCGGUCUCGCUGCAGCCUCCCUUGCGUAGUAGCACAUCUCGCACCGGAGCGCAGCGCGGCCACGCCGUUAAACCCCCCAAACUUCUGAAUGUUGACCUCGGAUCAGGUAGGAAUACCCGCUGAACUUAAGCAUAUCAAUAAGCGGAGGAAAAGAAACCAACAGGGAUUGCCCUAGUAACGGCGAGUGAAGCGGCAACAGCUCAAAUUUGAAAUCUGGCCCCAGGCCCGAGUUGUAAUUUGAAGAGGAUGCUUUUGGCGCGGUGCCUUCCGAGUUCCCUGGAACGGGACGCCAUAGAGGGUGAGAGCCCCGUCUGGUUGGAAACCAAGCCUCUGUAAAGCUCCUUCGACGAGUCGAGUAGUUUGGGAAUGCUGCUCUAAAUGGGA
rnacentral:rRNA from 1 species